rnacentral:rRNA from 1 species
AGAGUUUGUACUCCUCGGCUACAGGACGAACGGCUGGCGGCGUGCCUAACACAUGCAAGUCGAGCGAUGAAGUUCCUUCGGGAACGGAUUAGCGGCGGACAGGUGAGUAACACGUGGGUAACCUGCCUUAUAGAGGGGGAUAGCCUUCCGAAAGGAAGAUUAAUACCGCAUAAAGUUGUUGAUUCGCAUGGAUCGAUAACCAAAGGAGCAAUCCGCUAUAAGAUGGACCCGCGGCGCAUUAGCUAGUUGGUGAGGUAAUGGCUCACCAAGGCGACGAUGCGUAGCCGACCUGAGAGGGUGAUCGGCCACAUUGGGACUGAGACACGGCCCAGACUCCUACGGGGGGCAGCAGUGGGGAAUAUUGCACAAUGGGGGAAACCCUGAUGCAGCAACGCCGCGUGAGUGAUGAAGGCCUUCGGGUUGUAAAGCUCUGUCUUUGGGGACGAUAAUGACGGUACCCAAGGAGGAAGCCACGGCUAACUACGUG